rnacentral:rRNA from 1 species
GAUGAACGCUGGCGGCGUGCCUAAUACAUGCAAGUCGAGCGAACAGAUGAGGAGCUUGCUCCUCUGACGUUAGCGGCGGACGGGUGAGUAACACGUGGAUAACCUACCUAUAAGACUGGGAUAACUUCGGGAAACCGGAGCUAAUACCGGAUAAUAUAUUGAACCGCAUGGUUCAAUAGUGAAAGACGGUUUUGCUGUCACUUAUAGAUGGAUCCGCGCCGCAUUAGCUAGUUGGUAAGGUAACGGCUUACCAAGGCAACGAUGCGUAGCCGACCUGAGAGGGGGACCGCCCACACGGGAACGGAAACACGUCCCAACCUCCCAGGGGAGGCAGAAGGAGGGAAUCUCCCGCAAGGGGGGAAACCCUGACGGAGCAACGCCGGUGGAGGGAUGAAGGUCUUCGGACCGUAAAACGCUUUUUUUAGGGAAAAACAAAUUGGAAAUUAACAAUGCCGGUUUGGCGGGUACCAAACAAAAAAGCCCCGCCAAACUACGC